rnacentral:rRNA from 1 species
AGUGAACGCUGGCGGCGUGCCUAACACAUGCAAGUCGAACGAGAAACGAUUCGGGUAACCGAAUGCAGUCUAAGUGGCGCACGGGUGAGUAAUAGAUGGCUAAUGUCCCCUAUGGACGGGAAUAACAGUUGGAAACGACCGCUAAUACCCGAUACUCCGUCUCUUUGAAAUAGGAGAUGGGAAAUGUUUUUUCGCCACAGGAUCAGGUCAUCUCCUAUCAGCUUGUUGGUGAGGUAAAGGCUCACCAAGGCUAUGACGGGUAGCUGGUUUGAGAGAAUGAUCAGCCACACUGGAACUGAGACACGGUCCAGACUCCUACGGGAGGCAGCAGUGGGGAAUUUUGCGCAAUGGGGGAAACCCUGACGCAGCAACGCCGCGUGGAGGAUGACGCAUUUCGGUGUGUAAACUCCUUUUCUACAAGAAGAAAUUGACGGUAUUGUAGGAAUAAGCACCG